ensembl:misc_RNA 7SK 7SK RNA
GGAUGUGAGGGUGAUCUGGCUGUGACAUGUCACCCCACUGAUCGCCAGGGUUGAUUCAGCUAAUCUGGCUGGCUAGGCGGGUGUCUCCUUCCUCCCUCACCACUCCACAUGCGUCCCUCCAGAAACUUGUGCGCUCAGUCUAAGAGGACCACCUUCCCCAAAUAGAGAAGGACCGGUUUUCGGUGGAGAGUUUACAAGUAGCUGCGCUCCCCUGCUAGAACCUCCAAACAAGCUCUCAAGGAGAGUGGCAGAGACUGGGGCUGUAGGCUUCCAUUUUGGCCUGUUUAU